GGAUUAGAUACCCUAUUAUUUAAAAUGUAAAUUAGUUUAAAUCUAGGUAGUAUUAGAUAUGAUCUUGAAACUUAAAGAAUUUGGCGGUAUUUUAGUCUAUUUAGAGGAAUCUGUCUCAUAAUCGAUAGUCCACGUUUAACCUUACCAAAUUUGUUUUGUAUGUAUACCGUCGUUAUAAUGAAAAUUUUUGUAGAAUUUAAUAAUUUUCUUGAUUUUAUGUUUAUAAAUAUUUCAGAUCAAGGUGCAGUUUAUAAUUUGGUGAAGAUGGAUUACAUUUAUAUUAAUUAUUGGAUGUAAUAUUGAAAUAUAUUUAUGAAAUUGGAUUUAAUUGUAAUUCUUUAUAUGUUGUGAUAAUGAAAUUAGCUCUAUAAUAUGUACACAUCGCCCGUCACUCUCAUUAUAUUCAAAUUUGAGAUAAGUC
rnacentral:rRNA from 1 species